rnacentral:rRNA from 1 species
UUAAGCAUAUCAAUAAGCGGAGGAAAAGAAACCAACAGGGAUUGCCCUAGUAACGGCGAGUGAAGCGGCAAAAGCUCAAAUUUGAAAUCUGGCUUCGGCCCGAGUUGUAAUUUGUAGAGGAUGUUUCGGGCACCGCCCCGGCGUAAGUCCCUUGGAACAGGGCGUCAUAGAGGGUGAGAAUCCCGUCUGGCGUCGUGGUAGGGCCCAUGUGAAACUCCUUCGACGAGUCGAGUUGUUUGGGAAUGCAGCUCAAAAUGGGUGGUAAAUUUCAUCUAAAGCUAAAUACUGGCCAGAGACCGAUAGCGCACAAGUAGAGUGAUCGAAAGAUGAAAAGCACUUUGAAAAGAGAGUUAAACAGUAUGUGAAAUUGUUGAAAGGGAAGCGCUUACAACCAGACUUGAGCCCGUCGGUUCCCCCUCGCUUCUGCGUGGGCUACUCCGGCGGGUCCAGGCCAACAUCGGUUCGGGUGGCUGGUCAAAGGCCCCGGGAAUGUACCUCACCUUCGGGUUAGGCUUAUAGCCCGGGGUGUCAUGCGGCCUACCUGGACCGAGGAACGCGCUUCGGCUCGGAUGUUGGCGUAAUGGUUGUCAGCGACCCGUCUUGAAACACGGACCAAGGAGUCGAAGAGCUAUGCGAGUGUUUGGGUGUCAAACCCGUACGCGUAAUGAAAGUGAACGGAGGUAGGAAGCUUCGGCUGCACUAUCGACCGAUCCUGAUGUUCUCGGAUGGAUUUGAGUAAGAGCAUAACUCUCCGGACCCGAAAGAUGGUGAACUAUGC